rnacentral:rRNA from 1 species
GACGAACGCUGGCGGCGUGCCUAAUACAUGCAAGUAGAACGCUGAAGGAGGAGCUUGCUUCUCUGGAUGAGUUGCGAACGGGUGAGUAACGCGUAGGUAACCUGCCUGGUAGCGGGGGAUAACUAUUGGAAACGAUAGCUAAUACCGCAUAAGAGUAGAUGUUGCAUGACAUUUGCUUAAAAGGUGCAAUUGCAUCACUACCAGAUGGACCUGCGUUGUAUUAGCUAGUUGGUGGGGUAACGGCUUACCAAGGCGACGAUACAUAGCCGACCUGAGAGGGUGAUCGGCCAACCUGGGACUGAGACACGGCCCAGACUCCUACGGGAGGCAGCAGUAGGGAAUCUUCGGCAAUGGACGGAAGUCUGACCGAGCAACGCCGCGUGAGUGAAGAAGGUUUUCGGAUCGUAAAGCUCUGUUGUAAGAGAAGAACGAGUGUGAGAGUGGAAAGUUCACACUGUGACGGUAUCUUACCAGAAAGGGACGGCUAACUACGUG